GUCACACAUCACUGUUUCCGGGGCCGGGACCUUGGGCGGGCUUCCUGACCCGGCGUCUUUCACAUGGGUGUUGAUCUUACAAAAGCUAUAACAUCAGAAUGGGAUGGGAGCCAAGCUGGAUGCACAGUGACUGACAGCACACCAAGCCGUGGAAUUCUGUGGUUGAUAGGAUCUUCAGCCACCAUCAGCAUCAUGUAAAACAAGGUUCCCUCUUUUGGAGACAUUCAUUAGUGGCACAGCUCAGUUAAUCGGUGGGCUUGGCAUUGUUGGAGUUGCAGCAUUAAUGAUGUGCGUUUGGGAGCAGGACUGGAGUGCUGAGAUUAGGACUCUCCAAGAAAGGGACAGUGUGCUGAAGUAAAGUCGAUCUCCACAGAUGGAAUUUCCAGCUUUAGGAAGUAACCCCAGGGCCGGCUCUGCCAUUAGGCAGCUAUAGGUGUUCAUUAUAUCAAGUGAACAUUAGUUCAACACACCACAUCAUUACCAAUAUUGAUAACUUUAAUGAUGGUCUGUUACCAAUUAUCACUGCUGAUUAAACUGAGAACUGGUGUGAUCAUUUGGGUGAACAAAUCAGCAUUUUUCAGCGUUAUCUGAUUGUCUGUAAACGUAAAAAAUUGAAUACUGUGAAUUACGAUUAUUCUAAUAAUUUGGUGUAAAAGUAGAUUAAGGGUGAUUCAAAUUCUUAUCACGUUAGACGUCCACAACGCCAAUAUUAUCGUACCUCACGUACCUUUGACUCCUCCUCCUCGCAGUGGGAUCCCUGAGAGGUGCUUCUUUAGACAGAGUGACUAGAUCAACUGGCAGUAGGGGCAGAGGAAGAGGUGCAGAUACCCUAUGAGGAGAGGAGGGUACAAAAAGAAAGGGUCGGGGCAGCAGAUUUUAGACACAGUGUUCAACUUGUCCAGUUAUAAACUUUCCGGGUCUGAACUUGAAGUGUUGUCUUUGGGUUUUUUCCCUUAAUAGAUUUCAGUGGUCUAUUGGGGAGGAGAUUAAGAUUGAGAGCAUUCUUUGGAAGUGCUGCGGCUCUUCCGGUUGAUUUACCACUUAGAUCACAUAGUAUAUUUGAUUUGCAAAGCUCAGUAUUAACAUCUUCCCCAGGAUUUCUUAGAAGGAUAUGGCAAUAAC